rnacentral:rRNA from 1 species
UAAGCGGAGGAAAAGAAACCNAACCAGGGAUUUGCCUCAGUAAACGGCGAGUGAAGCGGCAACAGCUCAAAUUUGAAAUCUGGCCCUUUCGGGGUCCGAGUUGUAAUUUGUAGAGAGUGCUUCGGGGGAGGCGGCGGUCUAAGUCCAUUGGAACAUGGCGUCAUAGAGGGUGAGAAUCCCGUAUGCGACCGUGGCUCGAACCCAUGUGAAGCCUCUUCGACGAGUCGAGUUGUUUGGGAAUGCAGCUCAAAAUGGGUGGUAAAUUUCAUCUAAAGCUAAAUACCGGCUGGAGACCGAUAGCGCACAAGUAGAGUGAUCGAAAGAUGAAAAGCACUUUGGAAAGAGAGUCAAACAGUACGUGAAAUUGUUGAAAGGGAAGCGCUUGCAACCAGACCUGCCCGCAGGCGAUCAGCCGCUGUUCUCAGCGGUGCACUCGCCCUGCGAUCAGGCCAGCAUCGGUUUCGGCGGUCGGAUAAAGGCCUUGGGAAUGUAGCUCCCCUUCGGGGGAGCCUUAUAGCCCUCGGUGCAAUGCGGCCAGCCGAGACCGAGGACCGCGCUUCGGCUAGGAUGCUGGCGUAAUGGUUGUAAGCGACCCGUCUUGAAACACGGACCAAGGAGUCUAACAUCUAUGCGAGUGUUUGGGUGUCAAACCCAUGCGCGGAAUGAAAGUGAACGGAGGUGAGAACCCUGAAGGGCGCAUCAUCGACCGAUCCAGAUGUCUUCGGAUGGAUUUGAGUAUGAGCAUAGCUGUUGGGACCCGAAAGAUGGUGAACUAUGCCUGAAUAGGGUGAAGCCAGAGGAAACUCUGGUGGAGGCUCGCAGCGGUUCUGACGUGCAAAUCGAUCGUCAAAUUUGGGUAUAGGGGCGAAAGACUAAUCGAACCU